GUACUGCCGGUCCUCUGUCCCUCCCUCUUGCCUCCUCCCUCUAAACCCAGCCAGGAACACAGCGGGGAAACUGCAGAGCCUCUGACCCAUCCUCUCUGGCCACAGCUCGUCGCCUGCUGGGGUCCCCUAGGCCCCAGGCCUGGCCUCUGGCAAGGCACACACGCAAAGGCCGUGGAUUUGCAGGAGCAGCUGCUGCUUCCAUUCCAGCCCAGCUGUUUCUACCCUGCCGCAGCCUGCUUCUCCGAAACCCUGGGCCUUCAGGAUUGGGAUUCAAAAUGGUUACAACAGGCUGGAGGCUGUGUUAAAACCCACAGCACGAAGGAGGGGAGGCAGGUUGGCUCAAAAAGGCAGCAGUGUGAGGGCAAGACAAGAAGAGGUCAGCCCCAGCCGAGCCCCGGAGCCCCUGCACAGCAGGCCGUGUCCGUCCAGGGAGUGCGGGGCAGUUCCGUGGAGCUGGCCUGUGGCCCGGGGCCUACCCCCGUGAUGGUCCUCUGGAGCUUCACCCCGCUGGGCUCCCCGGUCCCCCAGCCUGUGGCUCUCACCAACGGAGUGGUGUCCAAGGUGGAGGCUGCAGCCUCGGCUCUGGGCUCCGUGAGCCUGAGGAACGGCAGCCUCGUGCUGGAGGAGCUCCAGGAGGGUGCCCGCGGCCACUUCCUGUGCCAGGCCCUGCACACAGCGGACGGCCAGCUCCACGCCGCCUACUCCUACCUCUCGCUGGCGGUGCUGGGUGAGGCGCCCACUCAGGAUGGCAGCCGGGCUGCAGCUGCUCUGUGUCCGGCUAUGUCUGCUUCUCUCUGCAUGUGCUGCUUCCCACUCUCUCUGCAUGUGCCGGGCUGGGUCCUAAGGAGUGGCCCCCACCCAGGGAGUGAGGAGACCUGGGAUUGGGAGGAAGGGCUGUUCGGGCAGGGUGG
rnacentral:lncRNA from 1 species